GGUAAGGCCCUUUCGGGGGUACACGAGCGGCGAACGGGUGAGUAACACGUGGGCGACCUGCCCUCAGCUCUGGGAUAAGCCUGGGAAACUGGGUCUAAUACCGGAUAGGACGCAUCGUUGCAUGAUGGUGCGUGGAAAGUUGUGUCCUUCGGGGCAUUUCGGCUGGGGAUGGGCCCGCGGCCUAUCAGCUUGUUGGUGGGGUGAUGGCCUACCAAGGCGACGACAGGUAGCCGGCCUGAGAGGGCGACCGGCCACACUGGGACUGAGACACGGCCCAGACUCCUACGGGAGGCAGCAGUGGGGAAUAUUGCGCAAUGGGCGGAAGCCUGACGCAGCGACGCCGCGUGGGGGAUGACGGCCUUCGGGUUGUAAACCUCUUUCGACCUUGACGAAAGCCUUCGGGUUGACGGUAGGGGUAGAAGAAGCACCGGCCAACUACGUGCCAGCAGCCGCGGUAAUACGUAGGGUGCGAGCGUUGUCCGGAAUUAUUGGGCGUAAAGAGCUCGUAGGCGGUCUGUCACGUCGGUCGUGAAAACUUGGGGCUUAACCCUGAGCUUGCGGUCGAUACGGGCGAUGACUGGAGUUCGGCAGGGGAGACUGGAAUUCCUGGUGUAGCGGUGAAAUGCGCAGAUCUCAGGAGGAACACCGCUGGCGAUAGCGGGUCUCUGGGCCGAUCCUGACGCUGACGAGCAAAACCGUGGGGAGCGAACAGGAUUAGAUACCCUGGUAGUACACGCCGUAGACAGUGGGCGCUACGUGUCGGGGCCAUUCCACGAGCUCUGUACCGCAGCUGACGCAUUAAGCGUCCCUGCCUGUGGAGUACGGCCCGCAAGACUAAAGCUCAUAUGAAUUGACGGGC
rnacentral:rRNA from 1 species